UCCAUUCCAAAUUGAGUUGGGGUUUAUUAAUAUGAAUUUGUUUUUUCUUUUUCUUUUUUUUUUCUUUAAUUUUUUUUUCUAGCACUUGAAUAGAAAACAGUACCUAAAGAAUUAGUGUGGAAUUAUUUCAGGCUGAAGCUAUGCGUGUGCUUCUAACGUACCAUGAGCCUUGGAUUUUUGCUUAACUUGAUGAGAAUUGCCUAACCUUAGAUAAGGGAUAUAACUUCUGUAAGUAAGGGGGAUUGAGGAAAGAACUUUGCAAGUCGGUAGGACGGAUCUCUUCCAACUGACACCUAACUAAUUAGCAUUCAGCAUUCAAGGAAAAAUGAAAAAAAAUGAAAAAAAAGAGUCAUCCAAGGGGAAAAGAAGUCAUCCAACACUACUAAGAAUUAAUAUACGGUUGGAACAAAGACUGUGUAACACUGGACUCUAAUUGUAAUAAAAGGACGAUAGAUGGCAGCAAAGACCGUGAAAUAAUUACAGCAGCCCUAUAUAGUGGGGGGUGCGGAAAAGGCGGGAUUUAACAUGAAUGUGUAAUGACUUUCGCGAAUAUAAGGUUUUUGCUUUUGUCAUUCCGUUCGACGCACUCGCGGAGGGUUAUCCCCAGUGCUGUCAAUGAAAAGGAACGCGACUUCACAUUGGUCAGACUUUGAUGCUGAGUAAAUAUCUUUGUUUCAGUACCUGUGGGACCGGCUGGGCGCCGAGCGCGGCUACCACGGCCACAACAGCAGCAGCUCCGCCGGCUGCGGGAACAGCAGCGCUGCCGCCGACCCGCUGCGGCAGGAGGUGGAAGCCCUGGUCUCCCACUGGAACCUCUACAUCAACUUGGGGGGCUUCUUUGUCUGUCUCUUCUCCGUGACUCUGUUUGGACCGUGGAGCGACAGCGUGGGCCGCCGUCCGGCGCUCAUCCUGUCAACAGCGGGCAUAGCCCUGCAAACGUCCAUCUACCUGCUGGUCAUAUACCUGGAGCUGCACGUCGCCUACUUGCUCCUGGGACGUCUUCUGAGUGGCCUGUCAGGAGACUACAACCUGGUCCUGGCCAGCUGCUUUGCCUACGUGACCGACAGCAGUGACAGGCGCGCGCGGACGUUCCGGGUGGCCAUCCUCGAGGCGUGCCUGGGCAUCGCGGGCAUGCUGGCCAGCAUCGGUGGUGGCCAGUGGCGCAAGGCCCAGGGCAGUGAUUUCCUGGAGCAACUGGCCAGUGAAAGCAUCAGUGCAAGAGGGAUCAGUGACCAGCAGGCACCAGAAUUGUCUGGAGAGUUGGAACUGGAAAGAAACUACUGCAGCAGAUUUACAGGUGGGGUGGAAAAGAACUUGGGGAAAAUGCCCCUCCAGAGACAAAACUUCUAAAGGUUCCUGGGACAGCAUAAAAGCCAAAAGGUGACUUGUCCUUUUCCAGAAGACAGGCCUGUCUCUAUACCACUGCCUUGGCAAAGCUGGUGUGGAGGCCAGUCCAGCUCUCACUGCAGCUCUAACAGGAACAGUCACUGCUCCCUUCGCCUCUCCACCUUAUGGGCACGAGCCUGUCUUGUUUGCCCAAGAUGGGAGAGUUUGCAGCUGGAACAAAGAUGAAGACCAGGACAUGAGCAUUACCUGGAUCCCAAGGAACAAAAGAUAUUGUGCCUGCACGACUCAGUAUUUCAAGGCUAGGACACAAUGGACUCAAAGCUGAAGGAACCAAAUUUCCUCUUUUUAAGACUAGCAUUGUUAAUUUUUUGAUCUCCCAUUUUGCUGACACUUCUUGGUGAACUAGGGUGAUGUCUGAACUGCACAUGGAGGAGAGAAAGACGCUUGGCCAGCACCACUGGACUCCAGUUCUGACCUGUGCAGCUGUUCCAGCACUGCCUGUGCUAUGGGGACCAUCAUGGCAGUGGUGGCUGUGUUGCUGAUCCACAUUGACAGGAAGGCAGUCACGACCAUGAAUCCCAUGAGAAGUCUGGAAUGAGAAGGUUUGGAAAAGCUGGAUCAGAACUCAGCACUGCAACGCUCUAUUUUUUUUGCAAAGAUUCGACCACAAGUGCUGGGUUUGGAACACGCUCAGCAAUUCCCACCCAGCACUUCCUCUUACCCUGGCCUACUUUGGGAGCGACAUGGUUGCAAAGGGAAAAGUCCAGGACAUUUUAAAUUUCUAUGUUGUUGCUGACUACAUAGUAACCAGAGAGAGUCAUUUUCACAGAGGAACUGAGGCAAGACUGCCAAAUCAUUCCACAGGUUGCAAUGAAAAUCUAAAAGAACACAUCGUUUUUGCAUCUCUGUAACAUGAAGGUCGGCCUCCAACUGCAGCCUCAUCUGUGGAGUGUAAAUAACAACCUGGAAGGGUCUCAGCUGAUGAAUUGUGCCUAUUCUUCACAAGCAACACGUCCUCAUCGAUCAUUUCCUCUGUCAGGUGAGUCACAAUACCUGCAAAGAUGCUAGAAAUGAGUUCUCUAAGUGUGUUAUGGUUUGUCUUGUUUGAGCUUUGCCUGUGGCCCAUUAACAGUCCCUUGGAGUUGUCAAAGGAGCAAUGCCAAUUUACGUUAGUUUGCAACAGUUUAUAUAAACGGGUUAAUCUAA